rnacentral:lncRNA from 1 species
GCGUCAGCUGCUAUGGGGGUGCUGGGAAUUGAACCCAGGUCCUCUGGCUGAGCAGCCAGCGCUGUUAGCCACUGAGCCGUCUCUCUCUUUUUCAUGAUGCCGCAAGUCUAUUCUUUCCUAAUCAUGGGAUCACAGGCACGCGGUUGUUGAGGUGGGUAUGUCUCACUCUGUAUGUAACAUGGAGGAUAUCUGUUAGAUAGCAUUUAGAUGUGUUUGCACACUUACGUGAGGGCUCUGAGUCGGACUCUGUGAAAGCACACUUGCCUAGAGUGUGAAGCCCUGGGCUUGACUGAAGUAAAACAGAACAGAAUGCUCAGAGCAAACAAACAACAAGCAAAGCACCCAAAUCAUUACAAAGAAACCAAGAGCUCAGGCAGAAGAGAAGAAACCUAUGCAGUAAAUAUGUCCUUAGAGCAAACAGAUCAAAGCAUUCUGCUUAGAAAAUUUUCUGUAACUAAUUUUGAUUUCUUUCUCUUUGUUUAAGUAGCUUCUUACUACCCAAGAUUUCCCACAGCCUGUUGAAGAGAAGGUCGGUCCCUUCACGAAGAUAAUAGAAGCCAUGGGAUUCACUGGACCUUUGAAAUACAGUAAAUGGGUAAACAUUUUUUACGUUCCCUUGGGUCUGUGUUCUUUCUGUGGCUCAUAGAUUUGUUUUAAAGUUUCUGGCCUGUGAAAUUCAUAUGAUAUUUUGAGAAUUUCUUCAGAAUACAUCCCUCUAUCAUCUAUCAGAUUUAUGUGGUAGAUAAGACCAAGGUACUCCUUCAGCCUAGUUCUUUGCUAGUCAGAACAGUGAGGUGGAAGUUUUUAGAUGCUUGCUUGGUGGCAGGAUAAUAGCAUCUAGAUAAGUUUAAAGGGACAGAUGGGCCAGCUGUCCCUCUGGGCUGUUCUCAUUGUUGAUUUUUAAUAGGUCUUAUGAAAAAUUGAUCUCAUGAUUUACUAUAAUACAUAUAACGGGGGGCUGGUGGGAUGCCUCAGUGGUUAACAGCACUGGCUGCUCUUCCACAGGACUUGGGCUCAAUUCCCAGCACCCACGUGGCAGCUGACAACUGUCUCUAACUCCAGUUCCAGGGGUUAUAGACACAGUCUCACAGACAUACAUGCUGGCAAUGUAGAUAACAUAAAAAUACCGGGAAGGGAAAUUUCUAGCUAGCUGGUCAUCCCUCGUCAACCCUGGGCCUCUCACAUUACCUGUUACACAGAAGGCGCUGUGGGGAGGCUGCAGAUGCUAGAUCUCAGCGAUAGUCUUGACAAUCCAUAGAUAUUUUUCAUAAAUAUUUAUUUAUUUUUAAAGAUGGAGAUAAAAUAGAGUGUGAGGCCAGUUGGGCUACAAACCAUUCAGACAACAGGGGCUACGUGAGGUCUUGUCUCAAAAACAACAACAACAAGAACAAAAUAAACUGUCGGCAAAUAGGUUUGUGGCCCUCUUAGUUGAGGGAAGGUGAGAGCGGCGGUCUGACAGUGUCUCGGGACACUGGAGUCUCCCCUGUCAGGGCUUGAGUUUGCUUUCCUUCCUUCUUUUGGUGUAGAAGAUCAAGAUCGCGGCCCUCCGCAUGUACACGAGCUGCGUGGAGAAGACUGACUUCGAGGAGUUCUUUCUGAGUAAGUGGCUCCGAUUGUUCCGGAAGGCAUGGACCCGCUGUUGAUUUCUGGGGCUGUGGGAUUGAAGUUUGUUUAUAAGCAUUUGUUUUGUGUGUGUGUGUGUUGAAUGUAUUUAUUUACUCAUGCACAUAUAAGCCAGAGGACUACCUUGGUGUUCUCCUCAGAGACACCUCCCUGUCUACCUCCUCUGCAACAGACAGGGUCUUUCGUUGGCCUGGCGCUUUUCAGCUAAGCAGUGCUUAAUGACUGGGGAGCUCCAGCGAGCCUCCUGUCCCUGCCUCCCCCAUCACCGGGGUCCCAAGCAUAGGCCACUCUGCCUGGGUUCUAGGGACCAGGCUGAGGUGGUCAUGUUUGAAUGGCUAGCACUGUCACCUCCCCAGCCCUUAUUUUAUCUAUCUAUUUAGGUAUAGUCUCUUGUGCAGCUAAGGGUGAUCUUGAACUCCUGAUCCUAUUGUCUCUGCCUCCCAAGUGUUGGGCUUGCAGCCUUGUGCCUCUGCUCCCACUCUUAGCAUCUGAUGAGGACUUUUUGUCAGUAGGUUUUCUUUUUGUUUCUAGUUCUGAAUUGUUUAGUUGAUCCUGAAUUAAAUUUCAUGGUUCUUCUUUCUCUUUGAGGGCGAUUGGCCCCAAAGGGUAAUAUAACUUUAUAACUUACAUCCAGUUGAUCCAUCGCUUACCAGGGGAUUUUACUGGUUUAGAUCACUGCUAACAGUUGAUUAUCUCAAUAUAGGAUUAAUUUGAUGCUGUAACCUGUAAUUAUUAGCACAGCUAACUAAAAUAGGUAUUUGUAAGAACACUGGAAAAUGUCAGCCAUCCCUGUGUCCACAGACUUUAGAGCAGUGGUUCUCAACCUUCCUAAUGUCCUAAUACAGUGACUUUAAUACAGUUCCUCACAUUGUGGUGACCCCAACCAUAACAUUAUUUUUAUUGCUACUUCUUAUUUGUAAUUUUGCUUCUGCUAUGAAUCAUAAUAUAAAUAUCUGUGUUUUCCAAUGGCCUUAGGUGACCCGGGUGAAAGGAUUGGUUUACUCCAGAGGGGUCUGGACCCUACAGGUUGAGAAACACUGCUUUAGUCAGACACCUAUGCUCUGUGUUCUUACAACUGGCACUUUACUCUGCAACAAAUAUCUGUCCGUAGUUAGCGAAGGACACUAGAUGCAGUUUUGAUUGCUUGAUAACUAUAUUGGUUGUUUAAAAGCUCAAAUAUAAGCUAUUUUGGUUACUUUACCACUUCAACAGAUAAAUAUUAGGGACUUAAAAUACUAUAAUGAGUUAUAAUUCUAUAUAUAUUUUUACUGGUUUCCUAACUGUGCUAAUAAUUACAGUUUAUAGCAUCAAAUUAAUCCUCUACUGAUAUAAUCAACUGCUAGUAGUGAUCCAAACCAGUUUUAAAAAAAAAAAAAUCUAUUUUCUUGUUCAUCAGGAAAGACAGUUUUUCUGCUUCUUUGAAAACAAGCAGUUUUUUUAUUGUUAAUUAAAAAAAGUCACAGUGUGUGUAUGUGUAUGUAUGUAUGAGUACGUGUGCACACAAAUGCACACAUGUACAUGUAUAUCAGCAUAAAUGCCAUGGGGCCCAUGUAGAGGUCAGAGUCAGAGGACAACUUAUAAAAGUUGUUUUUCGGGGGCUGGAGAGUUGGCUCAGCAGUUAAGAGCAUUGAUUGCUCUUCCAGAGGUCCUGAGUUCAAAUCCCAGCCACCCACAUGGUGGCUCACAACCUUCCGUAAUGAGAUCUGAUGCCCUUGUCUGGUCUUCUGGUGUGUCUGAAGACAGCUACAGUGUACUUACAUAUAAUAAUAAAUAAAUCUUAAAAAAAAAAAAAAAAAGAAAAAAGAAGGUGUUUCUCUCCACCAUGUGGAUUCUGGGGAAUCUUACACAGUUUGUCAGGCUUGGCAGCAAACACUUACCUCCUGAGCCAUUUUGCUUUGCCAUUUGACCCGAGUUUGCCUGAGUGAAUGUGUGUUAUCAACCUGGGCACAGCCACGGUAGAGUCCUGUAGCCUCAGACCCACAGAAAAAUGGCAAAGCUUCUCUGGAUGAGGCUCAGGGAUAUCCAACUCUUCCUCCCAUGUCUGGGUUCGAGAGCUGACGCUUUGGGUAGAAAAUGUCCGCUAUAGCGUUCGCCCUCCAGGAAGGUACAGCUUGACGACUGCAAUACAGAGACUGUCUACUGAGGUUAGCUAACCUUGUCUGCUUGGCCAUCUGUGUACCUUAAACUCUGCCUCCUGGUUCAGCCGGGUCCAUAACCCCAUCUCUGUUCAAAUCUCUGUAAUAGACACUCAGCUUAUGGGGUGUCAUGAUUUCCCCAUCUAAGACCUUAGUCCACCUGAACCAGCAUUUCUGUCUGUGUCCAAAUGUCCAUCUGUUUGUCUUUUCUUCAUUUCCUCACUACCCCCACUCAAGUCCCUUGAGCCAUCCAAGGACACAGCCACCAGACAUGCCUGUACCUCUGCAUUGUGAGAGGGAGAUGACACCUGGUGCAUCUGGGAGCUUGCUGGUCAGCCAAAUGGUGAGCUCUUCCUGUCUCAAAGGAAUAAGGUGGAGCCAUAAGGGAAGACAUCUGAUACUCUCCUCUAGACUCUGCAUCACAUGCAUGGGUGCACUCAAAGAUUCAUAUGCAUGUACUACACAUACAUACUGUACCCAC